AUCCAGCCAGUGAAAUAGUUGGCUACUAUAAUUAUAUAGCUGCAGGCUACAUUGGUCUCUCUGGUGGUGAAUGUAUUGGGUGGAAAACUGAAAAUAUGGGACAGAGACAGUCUGCUGAGCAACAGGGUGAGGAGUUAAGGGAGGCUGCUAGCGAGAAAAGUAUCGAGUCCAAGCAGGCCGAGGAGUUAAUGGAGGCCGCUGGAGUGAAAACUACUCAGUCUAAAAUUAUAGGCAACAGGCUGAGGAGUUAAGGGAAGCUGCUGGAAUGAAAGAUAUGUCUUCUGAAGCCAGUUAAUGAUGCUGGUGACGCUCCACUCUCUCUGGCCUGUGCCAAUGGCCACAUGGACAUGAUCAAAUAUUUUGUGGAGGAUCAGCAUUGUAACCCUAAAAGGACAGUCAACAAGGCUGGUGACACCCCACUCUCUCUGGCCUACAAAGGUGGACACUGGGAAGUGGUCAAGUAUCUCGCCAUAACUCAUCACUGUGAUACAAAAAGUAUAGUUUUGAUGUUAGUAUAAUUACGUUCUUAUACGCGCCGGCUGUGCAAGCUAUAAUAAUUAUUAUAC